GAGAAGGAAGCAAAUAACUUUCUAAUUUGAGGGUACCUGGUAAAGAAGCACCGGCUAACUCCGUGCCAGCAGCUGCGGUAAUACGGAGGGUGCAAGCAUUAAUCGGAAUUAUUGGGCGGAAAGGGCGCGUAGGCGGAACUGUAAGUCAGAUGUGAAAUACCGAAGCUUAACUUCGGUGCUGCAUUUGAAACUACAGAUCUGGAGGAUAGACGGAGAAAACGGAAUUCCACAUGUAGCGGUGAAAUGCGUGGAUAUGUGGAAGAACACCUGUGGCGAAAGCGGUUUUCUAGUUUAUUCCUGACGCUGAGGCGCGAGAGCAAGGGGAGCAAACAGGAUUAGAUACCCUGGUAGUCCUUGCCGUAAACGAUGUAUACUUGAUGUAGUUGGACUCAACCCCGACUGUGUCGUAGCUAACGCGAUAAGUAUACCGCCUGAGGAGUACGCUCGCAAGGGUGAAACUCAAAAGAAUUGACGGGGGCCCGCACAAGCAGUGGAGCAUGUGGUUUAAUUCGAUGCAACGCGCAGAACCUUACCCAGGCUCAAAGUGUAGGGGACAACUCCUGAAAGGGAGCCUCUCGUAAGAGUCGCUAUACAGGUGCUGCAUGGCUGUCGUCAGCUCGUGCCGUGAGGUGUUGGGUUAAGUCCCGCAACGAGCGCAACCCUUGUCACUAGUUGCCAGCAAUUCGGUUGGGAACUCUAGUGAGACUGCCUAGGUUAACUAGGAGGAAGGCGAGGAUGACGUCAAGCCCGCA
rnacentral:rRNA from 1 species